GAGAUCCAGCUGCCUCCCACCCCCGGAUGCCUUCUGAGUGUUAAUACUGAAGAGAUGAGCCUCUGAAGGAAGAUUCAUGUCCACAGAGGGUUGAAAAGAGAAACUAAAGAAGAAUGAAAGCAUUUGAAAUUCAAAGAUCUUAACUCAUGUUCUCAACACUC
rfam:Tupaia chinensis contig91409, whole genome shotgun sequence.